GAUUUUCACUGAUCACUAAACAUCCUCUGAGGUCUCUGUCCUUAUUUCACUCAUCAAAAAGGAAGACAGAAAUGCCUGUGGCCCCACAACAAACAUAAAGGAAAUUCCUUAUUUGUGGAUGAAAAUUAAAGAAGCAAACAAAUUGCAUCAAGGUAAAGCUAAGAAACUUUGUGUCACUGAAAAUAAAAAGGACAUAUCACGGAGGAAGUUCCUGCAAAGAACAAGAUGCCCAAUUCAUGACCCUGGAAU